UUCCGUAGGGUGAACCUGCGGAGGGAUCAUUACAGAGUUCAUGCCCUCCGGGUAGAUCUCCCACCCAUUGCUAUAACUACUCUCGUUGCUUUGGCGGGCCGCUGGGCCCUGCCCGGCCGCCGGCCCCGGCUGGCGCGUGCCCGCCAGAGACCUCACAGACUCUGAAUGUUAGUGUCGUCCGAGUAACUAUAUAAUCGUUAAAACUUUCAACAACGGAUCUCUUGGUUCUGGCAUCGAUGAAGAACGCAGCGAAAUGCGAUAAGUAAUGCGAAUUGCAGAAUUCAGUGAGUCAUCGAAUCUUUGAACGCACAUUGCGCCCUGUGGUAUUCCGCAGGGCAUGCCUGUUCGAGCGUCAUUUCAACCCUCAAGCCUCGCUUGGUGUUGGGCCCUGCCCGCCGCGGCCGGCCCUAAAGACAGUGGCGGCGCCGCCUGGCCCUCAGCGUAGUACAUCUCUCGCUCCAGGGUCCGGCGGCAGCCUGCCAGAAACCCCCCAACUCUGUGGUUGACCUCGGAUCAGGUAGGGAUACCCGCUGAACUUAAGCAUAUCAAUAAGCCGGAGGAA
rnacentral:rRNA from 1 species